rnacentral:tRNA from 6 species
CGCGGGAUGGAGCAGUCUGGUCAGCUCGCUUGGCUCAUAACCAAGAGGUCGUAGGUUCAAAUCCUACUCCCGCAACCA